rnacentral:rRNA from 1 species
GUACAGGAUGGACCCGCGUCUGAUUAGCUGGUUGGUGAGGUAACGGCCCACCAAGGCAACGAUCAGUAGCCGGCCUGAGAGGGUGAACGGCCACAUUGGGACUGAGACACGGCCCAAACUCCUACGGGAGGCAGCAGUGGGGAAUAUUGCACAAUGGGGGAAACCCUGAUGCAGCGACGCCGCGUGAGGAAGAAGUAUUUCGGUAUGUAAACUCUAUCAGCAGGGAAGCGGUACCUGACUAAGAAGCCCCGGCUAACUACGUGCCAGCAGCCGCGGUAAUACGUAGGGGGCAAGCGUUAUCCGGAUUUACUGGGUGUAAAGGGAGCGUAGACGGCAUGGCAAGUCUGAAGUGAAAUGCGGGGGCUCAACCCUGAACUGCUUUGGAAACUGUCAGGCUGGAGUGCAGGAGAGGUAAGUGGAAUUCCUAGUGUAGCGGUGAAAUGCGUAGAUAUUAGGAGGAACACCAGUGGCGAAGGCGGCUUACUGGACUGUAACUGACGUUGAGGCUCGAAAGCGUGGGGAGCAAACAGGGUUAGAUACCCUGGUAGUCCACGCCGUAAACGAUGAUUACUAGGU